UACGUAGGGGGCAAGCGUUGCCCGGAAUUAUUGGGCGUAAAGCGCGUGUAGGCGGCUCGGUAAGUCUGCUGUGAAAGUCCAGGGCUCAACCCUGGAAUGCCGGUGGAUACUGUCGAGCUCGAGUCCGGAAGAGGCGAGUGGAAUUCCUGGUGUAGCGGUGAAAUGCGCAGAUAUCAGGAGGAACACCAAUGGCGAAGGCAGCUCGCUGGGACGGUACUGACGCUGAGACGCGAAAGCGUGGGGAUCAAACAGG
rnacentral:rRNA from 1 species